rnacentral:rRNA from 1 species
CCUACGGGGGGCAGCAGUGGGGAAUUUUGGACAAUGGGGGCAACCCUGAUCCAGCCAUUCCGCGUGAGUGAAGAAGGCCUUCGGGUUGUAAAGCUCUUUCGGCCGGGAAGAAAUCGCAUCUCCUAAUACGGGGUGUGGAUGACGGUACCGGAAGAAGAAGCACCGGCUAACUACGUGCCAGCAGCCGCGGUAAUACGUAGGGUGCGAGCGUUAAUCGGAAUGACUGGGCGCAAAGCGCUAAGAGGCGGGUGAAGGCCCCGGGCUUAACCUGGGAACUGCGUUUGGGACUGGUGGGCUUGAGUGCGGCAGAGGGGGGUGGAAUUCCACGUGUAGCAGUGAAAUGCGUAGAGAUGUGGAGGAACACCGAUGGCGAAGGCAGCCCCCUGGGUCGACACUGACGCUCAUGCACGAAAGCGUGGGGAGCAAACAGGAUUAGAUACCCUAGUAGUC